GCCUCGCCUCUCGGAGCCCGACCCCGGAGUAGCGGACACACCCCCUCCCGGCCCGGCUGUCCGCCUCUGCCCAGCCUUUCCUCAACCUGCUUCAUUUUUCUCCCAGUCGUCCAGCCUCCCGGUUUCCGACUUUGCACUAAGAGGGAUGCACCCUGGAAAACCACACUGCGCGGUCACAUCUUGUUUGGGGAAGAGGCCGGGCUUUUGCAUCUUAGGGUAUACGUUCACCUUUUCAAGGGCCUGGCAUCGAUUUGAUUAAUCAGCCUGGAAUACCCUGUUCCUGCCGACCUGGCCGUUUUUACCUCCCUACCUUAUCACACUCCCAGGAACAUUAAGCAGGGAGCGCUUGGAGUCUUCUUUGGUUCCCCACCUUGAGCUAGACGUGAAGUUGACCCCUGGGCUGCAGCAUGGCUGUAGCCCUCGACUCUCAGAUCGACGCGCCCCUGGAGGUUGAGGGAUGCCUAAUAAUGAAGGUGGAAAAGGAUCCCGAGUGGGCAUCAGAGCCCAUUCUGGAAGGAUUGGAUAGCUCUGAGACCUUCCGCAAAUGCUUCAGGCAAUUCUGUUAUGAGGAUGUGACCGGACCCCAUGAAGCUUUCAGUAAACUCUGGGAACUUUGCUGCCGGUGGCUGAAGCCAGAAAUGCGUUCCAAGGAGCAAAUACUUGAGCUGCUGGUGAUUGAGCAGUUUCUCACCAUUUUACCCGAGAAGAUUCAGGCUUGGGCACAGAAGCAGUGUCCGCAAAGUGGAGAGGAAGCGGUGGCCCUGGUAGUGCAUUUGGAGAAAGAGACUGGAAGACUAAGACAGCAGGUCAGCAGUCCCGUGCACCUGGAGAAGCCUGCCCCACUUGGAGCAGCGUGGGAGAUGGCAGACUUCCAGCCAGAGCAGGUGGAGACCCAACCCAGGGUGGAGUCUCGGGAGGAAGCUGGAAGCCUCCACUCAGGACACCAGGAACAGCUGAACCGAAAGCGAGAACAUCGGCCCUUACCCAAGAAUGCUCGGCCUUCUCCCUGGGUUCCUGCCCUUGCUGAUGAAUGGAAUACCCUAGAUCAGGAAGUGACAACCACACGGCUUCCUGCUCGGUCCCAGGAACCAGUGAAAGAUGUCCACGUGGCCAGAGGCUUUUCCUACAAAAAGAGUGUACAUCAGAUUCCUGCCCACAGGGACCUCUACCGGGAUUUCAGGAAGGAGAAUGUUGGGAACGUGGUCUCCCUGGGAAGUGCAGUGUCUACAUCUAACAAGAUAACCCGGUUGGAACAGAGAAAGGAGCCAUGGACUGUAGGUCUGCAUUCCUCUAACAAGAGAAGUAUCCUACGAAGCAACUACGUCAAGGAAAAGUCAGUUCGUGCUAUUCAGGUCCCUGCAAGGAGUGCAGGAAAAACAUGGAGAGAGCAGCAGCAGUGGGGUUUAGAAGACGAAAAGAUAGCAGGUGUGCAUUGGAGCUAUGAGGAAACAAAGACUUUCCUGGCAAUUCUCAAAGAGUCUCGCUUUUAUGAAACACUUCAAGCCUGUCCCCGAAAUAGCCAGGUGUAUGGUGCUGUGGCUGAAUGGUUGCGAGAAUGUGGCUUUCUUAGAACCCCAGAACAGUGUCGAACCAAGUUCAAAAGUCUCCAGAAAAGCUAUCGAAAGGUGAGAAAUGGCCACAUGCUAGAACCCUGCGCCUUCUUUGAGGACAUGGAUGCUUUGUUGAACCCUGCAGCCCAUGCUCCGUCCACUGAUAAACCAAAGGAGAUGAUACCUGUCCCCAGACUGAAGAGAAUUGCCGUCAGUGCUAAGGAACGCAUCAGCUUGGUGGAGGAGGAGGAAGCUGCAGAAGAUUCUGAUGGUGAUGAAAUAGGCGUCGAAUUUAUCCGCAAGUCUGAAAUCCAUGGUGCCCCUGUCUUGUUUCAGAACCUCAGUGGUAAGAAUUGUGCUUUGUUUCUCUGGUAAGAAAACAGAUAUGUGAUCUUGUGGAAAAAGGACCAGAAGUGACCAAACCCAGGGGGUGCUGUCAUACACACCUCACCACUUUCACUGUGGUGUGGCCACAUCACUAAAGUACUCUCAGGUGCUUGCUGCUGCCCCCAUUGCAGUCGGAGUAACAGCUCCAAGAGGCCGUGGAGGAGUCGUUUUCACUUUAGAGCACAGCAUGGAUUUUGAGUGUUUGCGUCCUUGUGGAAGGAAGACAGAUGGAGUUAAAGGGAUCUAAGGAUCUAGUAUUAUCUGAUAAUUGGCAUAAAGCAAUCAAUUGUAUUGGAUUAUAAGUCAAGCAUGCAUUAUUACAUUAUCUAAAAUAACCAGUACAAAAUUAGGUAACAGUUUCAACAGGUUUUCAUUAAAAAUGAAAUAAAC
rnacentral:sRNA from 1 species